rnacentral:rRNA from 1 species
UACGUCGGGCGCAAGCGUUAUCCGGAAUUACUGGGCGUAAAGGGCGCGUAGGCGGCCGAUCAAGUCAGAUGUGAAAGUCCUGGGCUUAACCUGGGGACUGCAUUUGAUACUGAUUGGCUUGAAUUCGGGAGAGGAUAGCGGAAUUCCCAGUGUAGAGGUGAAAUUCGUAGAUAUUGGGAAGAACACCGGUGGCGAAGGCGGCUAUCUGGACCGACAUUGACGCUGAGGCGCGAAAGCGUGGGGAGCAAACAGG